AGACCCUAGGUCUAAAAUAAAUUCAACUAGAGAGUGGAGACCCUAUGUUGGAAAAGCAGACUGGGAGUGGAGACCCUAUAUCUAAAAUAAAAUCAACUAGGGAGUGGAGACCCUAUGUCUAAAAUAAAAUCAACUAGGGAAUGAAGAACCUAUGUUGGAAAAGCGACUAGGGAGUAGAGACCCUAUGUCUAAAGUAAAUUCAUCUAGGGAGUGGAGACCUUAUGUUGGAAAAGUAACUAGGGAGUGGAGACCCUAGGUCUAAAAUAACUUCAACUAGGGAGUGGAGACCCUAUGUUAGAAAAGUGACUAGGGAGUGGAGACACUAUGUCUAAAGUAAAUCAACUAGGGAGUGGAGUCCCUAUGUUGAAAAAGCAGACUAGGGAGUGGAGACCCUAUGUUUAAAAUAAAUUCAACUAGGAAGUGGAGACCCUAUGUUGGAAAAGCGACUAGGGAGUGGAGACCCUAUGUCUAAAAUAAAAUCAACUAGGGAAGGGACACUCUAUGUUAGAAAAGCAGACUAGGGAGUGGAGACCCUAUGUAUAAAAAUAACUUCAACUAGGGAGUGAAGACCCUAUGUUGAAAAAGCGACUAGG
rnacentral:lncRNA from 1 species